rnacentral:lncRNA from 1 species
CCUUUCUUUCUCCCCUCCCCCCCCCCCCCCACCCUGCAAGCAGGUCCUCUGGCAGUGCUGGGGCAACUGUUGCUAAAGAAGACGUUUCUAUUUCACAGCACAAUAAGCAGUUAUAUAACACGUUUAUUUCUCCAUUUCAGCAACCUCUCUCCUCUUUCUUCUUGAAAAUGUCUUUUAGUCAUUCGCCUUCCUCUUUUCUCUUUGCUCGGGAAAGGAGAAGAGAUACAACCAGAAAAAAAUCACAGAAACAUUCUGAAUAAAGUGUUUAAUGCAUGCUAGAAAUAAGAUGGAACAAAACAAAAUAUGUGACUGAAAAGUGUGACAAACUGAGCAGAGAAUGCCAGAGAGCUAAGCAAUGCUUUAAAGGAAAAGAAGAAAAUAGCAGCCUUCACGUUGAUGGUUAAGCUAAAGACCAGAGGGAAAAUGGAGGAUAACUAAAAACAAAUGCUCUGAGAAUCUCUACCCACCCUACCUUUCUGCAGGUGAAUCAGUUAAAUGUUUAAUGCAAUUGCCUUCUGUACUGAAUGAUCUUUAUAAUUUGACUUUCCUUCUAAAUGAAAGCUCAUCUCUCCUUUACAGUAAACCACUGUUGAACAUAUUGAUCCUCAGCUUCCUAAUUUGCGAACUGUGGAAAAUAUCAAUUCAUCUGGUUUCCUGGGAAGUAUCAAAGAUCUGGAACACAGUAUGCAUUUAAUAAUUUAGAGCAGCAUUCAAUAAAUCACAGCAAUUAUUAACA